CUGUAGGUGACUGCAGAAGGAGGAGGAGCUCCAUCUGUACUCUCUUCAGGCAGUUGUGUCUCUCAGUGCUUGUUGGGUUCACACCUAUUAAAUAAGCUGGCUGGUCUUCACCCUCCAAGAGAAGUCAACUCAUGGGAGGUGGCAGGGUACAGGCAUUGGCCCAAGCUGUGGCUGGGGCCAGGCUGUGGUGUCGGCAGGCAAGCAGCAGACAAGACCAUCUCUGCAAGUGCAGCACAGCCUCAGCCUAGGGCAACGGGAGUGUGAGGCCAAAGCUGUGAGCAGAGGCAUAGAUUUACCUUUGGAGUCCAACCCUUCUGACCAUCCAGAGGCAAGCACAAUAUUCCUGAGAAAAUCUCAAAUAGAUGUGUGACCUUGGUGAUAUAUUAACAUAUCAAGCAAAGAGAUGCAGAUAGAUCUUUGGGCAUAUUUGAUGAACGGUUACACCCAUUUACAUGAGAAGACGUUUUGGAGGAAUAUUUUAAAUAUGAUCCUUAACACAAAUUGGUUUUCAGUUUUGUUUGUAUUCUGUUUAAAGCCAUAAGGCUAACAGCUGAAUUUGCAAUUGUAAGUUUGGAAUGAGUUGGAAAGGGAAUUCUUGAAGCUAAUUAAUUACAAUAUCAGCGUUACUGGCAGUGUUUAUAGCAGAUUCUACUUCAAUCUUCGAACCAUGGCACAUGACAACAGCCUGUAUUCGCUAGUUUAUCUUCUUGACAGAGAAAGAGCAUGGAAGCUGGAGGCUUUUUCAAGGAUGGAACAAGACAAAGUUUUCUAUAGUGCUGCCAAGAACAGGUCUUUGAGUGCUGAUGAUUUAAUUCAUUUUCAGCGUGCUAAGGCCAUCCUCUUCUGAAGGAAGAAAAGAAGGGUAGUGUAAACCCUCAUUUUGAUGUGAUCUGAACCUCUCAUCAAAAAAGGCAGGAAAAUAUCACCUCUCCUGCUAAAGAACUAGAAAAGUUGAUAUUUUCAAAAGAAGAAACACCUCAAUUCAAGUUAACUCAAGGACAACUAAAUGGCACUUCAUAGUAAAGAAUGGGACCUUGUCAGGGCAACAACACACUCUUACAUUCUUCUGUCCCAUUUAAUGUAAACAGAGUUAUAAAAACCACUCCAAAGUGAAGACUCCUUCUACCCACACACAGAUAUUUGCUUAGUAUGUGGACUGAUAGCUGUGAACUACGUAAGGCUUUUAAAACAAUAGUUUAACUUUUUAGAUUUUAAAGAUAACUUUUCUGUUUCUUUUAUGUUUUCUCUUUUCCCCAAUAUUGCUGCAUACACAUUUGGAAUCAGUGCAGUAUCACUGUUAAAACAUGGGAGUCUAACAAUUCCUAAAGCCACUAGGAGCAGACCCAACAUUGUCAGGUAUGGAAGGGCUCUUCCUUCCUACUUUUACCAUGGAAGCUACUAGUUACUGGCGAUCAUCAAGCAAAAGCUGCCAGACAGCAUUUGCCAUUCAUAUCCUUUGUAAGCCCUUCUUAUUAGCAGUUUAGCAUGUUUAGGGUCAUAAAAAGAGAAAGUAUUGGUUAUUGAUUAUCUACUUUUAUGAAGGUCUAUAGUGUAUUUCUUGUGAACUAUAAUGGUUCUCAUUUGCUGAUAAAGUUUCUUAUUGUUAAGUAAAUGUGUUCAAAGAUGUUUUCACAGUGCCAAGCAGAAUGGUGGUCCAGUGGUUAUAUAAAAAUAAUAAAAUAUGAGGUACCCUGAAACUUUCAGGGCAGUUUUUAGCUUUAAUAUAGUGUGCCUGGGCCCUCCAGAGGACUGCAGCAUAUGUAUACAUGCUGUAAAUCUUUACAAAAUAUCAUUUGAAAGUGUAAUUGUAUUUCUUCUUUUUAACAGAUGGUGCCUCGCUAUAUUGCCCAAGCUACAGUGCAAUGAGUAAUCAGAGACACAAUCAUAACGCACCACAGCCUGAAAAUCCUGGCCUCAAGCAAUCUUCCCAUGUCAGCCUACCAGGUAACUGGGACCAUAGGUGUGUACCACCACCUCUGGCUUUAUUUUACAGAAUUUGAAUGUUAAGCUUUUAACUUUUUGUUUCAGUCAAUAUCUGCUAUCUUCAAGAAGGACUGAAACAAAAAAUUAAAAGCUUAAUAUUCAGGAGCUAGGCAUGCUUGUAGUCCCAGCUACUCACGAGGCUUAAAUGGGAGGAUCACUUGAGGCCUAACCUUGGAGGCUGCAGUGCACUGUGAUUGUGCCUGUAAAUAGCCAUUGCACUCCAGCCUUGGCAACUUAAUGAGACCGUGUCACCUUAAAAAAUGGCAAAACUAAAUAAACGUAAAAGAAAUACAACAAGCUUUUCAAUUAUGUUUUGUAAAUAUUUCUAGCAUUGUUACUUUUACAAGGAUCAAAGCUUAAAAUUACACUAAGACUUUUGGAAUUCUUGUGUUUUUACAAAGUGCCCUUUUCUCUUGUAAAGUAGCUCUUUGCAAGGCUUUUAUCUGCAAUGAUCACCUCAAAUUAUUUUCCCUAGAUGUGAUAAAGAGGAGGAUCUGUGUUAAUUCACAUGUAACGAAUUAGAAGGAAUUGGACCCCAAUAGUAGUAGGUGAUGUAAUACAUUUUAUUAUCCCACAUGUUAGCCUGAGUGCAGGUAUCAUAUUUCAUGUCCUGCUAUUUAAAAAGAACUUCCAUAAACCUUAGGAACCCUACCUCCUGAAAAAGUAUCACUUAUGGAAUGCAGAGCUUAGAGAUUGAAGUAUUGAUUGCAGUUUUAUUUUCAAAAGAUAAAUGCUACAACUGAUGUGGUUUUCAUUUCUCAUGUUUAUAUUAAAAGAAAACCUAGUAAAUUA